AUGGCUGCCAAACAACAAAGACAUCCUCGCUGGUGUGUUGACUCCAGAAGGUCUAGUGAGGCACGAGCCCUGCCAGCUUUCACAGCUACAGAAGGAGACGAGAACCACUGUUUAAUGUCAUCCAGUCACAUAAAACAUAAAUAUGUCCUGGCGGAGGUAUGCAAAGUACUCGCCUUACUUCCUCUGCUACGCCAGCUCAGAAUGUGUUGUGCUGCUGCAGUAAAAAUGGUCAAACUACUGACUGUCAGAUCUGGGGCGUACCUCUCCUAUCUUACACUGUCUGUCUUUUCCCUUGGAUUUCCAUCUGUUCUCUGCAGGGAGCAAGAAAGCCUCACUCUAAACCCAGGAGUAAGAGCUCAAGCCUUCUGGAAGCAAAGCUCAAUUGCCAGCCUCCAGAACAAGCCAAAAAAAAAAAGUUAUGGUGAGUUAUCUACAAGCCUCAUUAAGCACGAGAGAAUCCAAUGGCUCCCCAGAUAUUCGUGGGAGAGCGUGAGGCUGGAUUCAAACCACUCCUGGGACAAGCACUGACCAGAUUGUGGUGCCUGAAGUGUUUUCCAGCCACCCCUGUGAGUAUACCUUACAUACACAUAAAUAUCAGCUUCGUGUUGGAUCCAUGUCCAGAGGAGGGAAGUGAAAGAGAAGCAAGCCAUGCCUUUUCAGACGAGCUCAUGGCUUUUAGCAGUCUCCCUUCACACACUGCUUACAGCAGCCUGGCUGAUAGGGAAAGAAAGAUCCCAAGAAAGCCCUGCCAUCCGGAGGAACUCAGCCGCCUCCAUAAGCAAUGUAAGCACAGCUGUGCUUUGCAGUAGCAAAUGCCAGCCAUGCAACUGAUCGCACAGUUAAAACAGGCUGCAGCAGCAAUGCACCAAUGCUGUGUAAAUGGCUGGACGUGCAAGCUCAUGUCAUACUGCCAGCUACUUGUAGCCCCCUGCCUGAUGGAUGUGUGGGUGGCUUAUACCUGGUGAAUGCAGUCACUGAGCUGGGCUCUCACACACACUUUGCACCUUGCUAAGGAACUGCCUGGUAUGGCUGGGUCUUCUGUUCUCCAGCCCCGUGGAGAGCAGCCAACGCAUCUUGCCCUGCAUUUCAUAGGGAUGUUUGUGGAAACAAGUGACACUGGGGUACAAGUUUUGCUGUGGGCUAUAAGAGAACAUGAAAAUUGAGCCAAACUGAUUCAAGCCAAACUUGUUACGAGUGAAUGUUUCCUCAGAGGACAGAGCUGUCAAGCAGAAGGUCUCUUGGAGAACAGGAGAAACCUCUUUUGACUCACACCAUCUGCCAGAAAGGAUGAAAUACUGGAAGGAGUUUGAGAAUGACAUGCGGGUAUUCCCAGCACUGCCAUGGUGAUUUUGUGUGACCUAGGUGCAGUGGUUUGGCCCCUCUUUGAACCGUAAGCUUUGCCUGCCCUCCCAAGGCAGAGAUGACAGGAAUGCCGGUGGUUUCACCCCCUCCUAGCACACCAGACAGGUAGGGAUUUUAAGCCGAUGAAUUAUUUGCUGCAAACAUUCUUUUCCACUUUGCUAAUUGUUCCCAUACCUGCUUGGGCGGCUGUAAAUGUGUUUGUGAUUACUGCAGAAGAGAGGGAUGCAGCUGUGCUCCAGCCCCAUGCAAACCCUUCACACCACGAGGCUGCAGUCAGCCCCUGUCCCACAGCACAGAGCUGUGCAGCUGCACAUCCACAGCCAGCUGCUGCUGCAGGGAAAGGGCCAGCCUCGCUAACGAGCCUCACACGGGAGCACAACAGGAGGGCAAACCACUCGUUUUUUUUGCUGACAUGGAGUUAUUCAGUUGCACUUCCCAGUCCCAUGGUACCUCGUAGCCAAAGCCACAAAGAAACCCCAAACUAACCUGAUGAACUGUUCCAAAUACUGGUAUGUUUUCAUUUCCCCUUCCUGAAAACAGUCAUAUAAAAAUCACAUGAAGCCCUCUAGCCUCAAGAAAGUGGAGCCCUCAACAGCGAGUAACUCACGGUUUCUAAAGAAGUGAAAGUUUCUGGGUUCUUUGGGGAAGAAUUUCACCAGCUCUGCUCUUACUGUGAUGCAGCUUAUCUAGAGGGAAAGAUACUGUACACAGAUACAGACAAACUGGUUUCCAACCCCAAAUCUGUGAUUCCAGACCAAGUGGGUAAGUGUUAACUGCAGUUUCCAUCCUUCAGCAGAGGACAUUCAGAGGACUGUCGUACCAAUGGGUGAGGAGACUACAGAAACCACACAGACAAGACCUAAAACCUUCAUAUGUGAGGCUAGGGACUUCAGCGUGACAUGUUUAUUUAACACGGAGCCAGGUUUGCUGUCUUACAGCAUGCAAUAGUUGAUACCUGAAGGACAGACUCUGGCAUGAGCAAUUUUGGUUAAGUAUAUUCUAUUUUCAAUGCCUGAGAUUCUCCUUUGGAGAAUAAUUAACCAUGCGAUAUAUGGUCUUAAACAGCCAGGAAAGAGAUUGAAAAUACAGAAAAUUGAAAGGAAAUUAUUUCAAACCAGAGUGCUUUGACUCUGGAAACUAAGUUAUAAAUGCUUUUGAGAACCUGCAUUUAUUACUUGCAAUAAAUAACUUUUCUUCCAAACACGCCUUUGUGUGAGAGACAGAUUAGCAGUGCAAGUGGAGCAUAUUUCUGCUGUGCAGAAGUUACUUAUUUUAGAAUAAUGGACGUCACAAAUUGGCCCUGCAUAGCAACACUCAUUGGAAAAAGAUCACAGCUCCACUUAACACAAAAGUGCAAUCUUGAAGCCCAUUGAAACUGAAGUGUCUUCACAGGGCAAGCACUGAAGUAGCGCCUCGUUUGCGUAAAGCUGGACAAUUGCUCCUCUUCCGUACACAAAAACCUGCUUAGAUAUCUGCUGUGCAGGGGGAAAGGCUCCUUAAUCACAUUACAGAAAAUGAACAUCCCAAGGUUAAGUCCUGGUGCUGUGGAGUACAUCGGUGCUUUAUAAAGUCAUCUGAACAGGAUUUAUACCCACAGAUCUCCACGCUGCAGUGAACAUCCGGAGCUUACCUUCAAACUCGGGGGGGGGAUGCUUCUUCCUUGUAGGAAAAGCAGUUCAGAAAAACAAAUUUAGAAUCAUAAGGUCUGAUUCUGUACCACAUUAAGCCUGUUUUACAGUGGUGUCACUGCAGUGAAAAUCAAUGGAGUGACCCACUGGUGAAAAACACCACAAAGUAAUGAUGAGAAUUAGCCCAGGCUCUUUAGAAGGCAGUUCAUGUAGCCAUUCCCUCAGGUUCUCUCCAAGUCCAUUAUGCUAGCUGUGGUGUGGCAAGUGCAUGUAGGAAAAAAAGGCUGUGAGAUGGCAAACCCAUCCACCCUUGUUCGCCUGUUUUAUGGCAUUCCUGUCUUUCUGCCUUUGCAUCAUAACUCUGCUUUCCUUCAAGGAAAAGAAAACGAUCAGACCUAGAUUUAUGCUCGCUAAGUGAGCUUGCUUUCCUUGCAGGUUUUUAUUAUUUUUUUUCUGCGAGAAGCAAUUACAGCUGGAUUUGUUCCACUGCUUCUUGCCAUCCUGGCAGGACAGCCGGGAGCACGGGCCAUAAGUGAGCGCAAGGAAUAAGUGGGAGCAGGGGAUGGCUGCUGAUUUACAGCGGCGGAGGCUCUGUCUCACGAGGCUGGCUAUCAGGCGUGGCACUUCAUUUCUGGAGCCUCCACUGACAGACGUGGAAAAAGUGCUCAAAAUACUGCAGACCCUCUCAAAGUCACCUUGAAAGCGUGUGAGCAAAAAGGGGGCAGCUCCUCCGCUGCCACAUGUCCAUCCCAGCGCCCGCUGCUCCCUCCCAGCUCCUCUGGGAUGCCCUGCUUGGGGCUGGAUCCAGCCCCACCAAAAAAUUCAUCCCAAAAUUUGUUAUGGGAUUGGGCACAACAAUCCCGAGCAGCAGGAGGGCAGGUUAGGUGCUGGGACUCUGCUUGGUGCCACCAGGCCCAGCUGGCUGUGGAGGAGGCUGGCAUGAGAGCUGGCAGCAGAGAAUUGCACGAGCUGGGAGCAAAGGAAAGCCUUGAUCAGCACAGAAUUGCUUAAAAGAGGGGGUCACUCCUGGGGCCAUGGCCCUGCAGAACUGCGAGGGGAAAGGAGACGGGACAACCAAGCAAAAUUGUGGGGAAGGGGCAGGGCAAAGACCAGGACAAAGCACUCUACGGACCCACAGCCCUGUGUUUGAGGGCCAUGCCCAUGCUGGAACAGCUGUGGGGCAGGGGCACGGGGCUUUUCCCUUAGAUUAAUGACUGAUUCAGAGGCCACGCAGCUGUCGUACCAUGCGCCCUGUUCCCAUUUUAAUUUUAGCAGCCUCACAUACCUCCUGGGCUACUUACAAGGUUAGAAACGGGGGAUUUCCAAGGGGAAGCUGCGGGCAGCCAGCCUGGCACAAGCCCUUUGCUCUGGAGAUGGCACAGCUACUUGGACAUCAGCAGCUGGAAGACAAAUUAAGGCUCUGCGAGGCGGCUGCGUGUCACCCGCAUGGGGCUUCUGGUUUGGUGUUGCUGUCCUUGGAGGUAAAGAUGGGGAGCCAUGACUUCUAGGAAAACGGCAAAGCAUGAAGAUUAACUGCAGGAAUUCACUCAGAGACAAAGUAAUGAGGUAGGGAGGAAACUGUGCCUGCAGGACUCCCCUGUUAAUCUGUGGCUGGAUGAAUUGCUCCUGACAGCGUGCUCGGCUUGUCCGCUGGCAGCGCGGUGGGCUGGAGUUUUUCCGCAGUGCCCAACCAAGUACGAGAUCCAUCGUUAGCUUGGGGGGACACGGGGAUGGAUAAGGGAAAGAUAUAAAUAAGGGACAUGCCGGGAAUGGAACAAGGUAAAAAGUUGGCUUAGUCAGUGUCGUAGCUAGAGGGAAAUACAGGUAAACAUGGCUUGCCCAUUUCUAAUUCAGACACUUCCUUCCUUCACACACGAGGAAGCAGCCAGAGGAGUGAGUUUGCCCACCUCCUUCCUUACCAUCAAGCCACACUGUAUUAUAUUUAGUUGAACAGUCAACAGCAGCACUGACCUUUAAAGCACUAUACGAUCCUUUGUAACCCUCCUGUUUAAUACAAGAGCCCUCUAUCCUAGCGACAGGCAGCUGGAGACACCGAGGCUGUGUCUGUAGCAGUGCAUCAGACGUGCCCAGGUCUGUCCUCUGGCACUGAGGCUGGCCGGGAUGGGAUGUUCC
rnacentral:lncRNA from 1 species